CGAGAGAAUCCCAGUGACGCAAUGAAAACCGUAAAUUGAUUGUCGUUAUAGAAACAAACAGAGUAUCAGCAUCAUAUGAAAUUGCGCUGAAACAUUUUCUGCAUUCAUCUUAAUGAUUGCUUUCUGAAACUACCAGCCAAGCUUCUUGUUCAACAUUUUUGUAGGGCAAAAUCUGCUUGAUCUCAUGAUCUGGAUGCUUUACAUUGAUGGUUGGAGGGCCCAAAACACUUUCCUAAUGCCAGGAAUAGCUGAUAUAUGUAUGGCAUCCAAUUAAGGUUCAAAAGGAAUAGGCCCCAAAGACAAAAUAUCUAAUGACAUAUUAUAGUCAAUUACAACAGGACACAUUUUAUCACAAUUGAGCUAGUAUUAAAUUUUUUUCAGAUCACAAAAUAUAAAGGCACAACCUUUAACAUCAUUGGGGAAAAUAGUUGGCUGGAAAUGUGAUUGCCUUUGGAGUAUGGCAAAUGAAAGAUUAAGACUACUAAUAGUUUGAUAAAACAUAAUAACUAUCUAAUAGUUACUGUGACACACACUCCUGAUAUCAGAGUAAACAACAUUUUAAAACAUGACACCACAGUUGUUUCAACCACUGCAUUAUUUGAUGCACCUUAAUUAUGUUGAACAUGCUACUCAAACGUAGGCAUUGAGUUUUUUAUUGCUUAUACAAUCACUGCGCCGAAAAGAAAUGGAUGUAUGCCUUACCAACCAGAUCUUCAUGCAACCACUCCUUACAUAUCUACAUCAACCCAGGUCGACAAAUCUGUGUUAACGAGGAUCUUGGACAUAAAAAAAGUACGAUUCAUGCAGCAUAUUUGUAUCCGUUUGUAUUUUACUUUUAUGCCGAUUUUUUUUCAUUUUAACGCAGCUCUAUUUUGAUCCUUAUUUCAUUGUGAGAAUUCUUCUCAGUGGUCCUUCACGUCUUUUUGUCACUUUCAACCCUAUAACAUUGUCUUAAUAGACGUAUUGGUUUGAAUACCCGUCGGCCUCCGUUACCUACCCCCCUCCGCAAUUUUUUCCAGGUCCUAUUUUUAGGAAUAGCCUAUAAACUCUUUGGAUGGAAUAUUGACACGUUCACUGGAUGCCUCUGCAAAUACCCUACACAAUACAGUGUCAUAUGCAGCAAUAAGCCAGCCCUGAAAUUGGCUAAUUAAAGCAGUUAAUAUUUGAAGUCAACACAAUAACAUCGGUGAAAUACUGCCUGUUUACCUGCCUUCUCCAACCUACAGCAUGGAGAUGGAAUGAAAUCCCCAGCCGCUUUUAAGACUGAGCGUGGAACCCAGGAGGAAAAAGUUUUCUUUUAUUCGUUUGUAAAUUACAACGCAGCUUAGGAAGUAUAUUAUUUGUAGCGCCAGUACUCCUAUACGGCUAUCCUGAAAGUGCGAUACGGUAUAAUUAUACAUACUGCUUCUCGGUAUAAUUAAAUAGGCCAAAUUUGAUUGCGCAUUUGGCUCGAAAUUCACCUUCUCCUAUUUCAAAAUUCGCCUUGCCCAUGUUUUUUCUGUCUCUGAGUCCAUCGAAUAGUAGUCUAAAUCUAUAAGACAAAAGUUGAGCAAAUGAUCAGAAAGCCUUAUUGGUCUGCGCUGCUAGCGAACGAGUUUCUACUACUUAAACUGAUACCAGUUUCAUUAUUUCUUGCCUUCGCGAUUAAUGCGUUCUUGAAACAUGAGUUGCAACAUGCAGGACGAUCAUUUCCCUAGAAGAAACGUAUUCCUAUUUCGCUUACCAUGCAACGCCAUGGUUAAACAUCUGUAACAUGAUUCAUAAGGCUGACCAACUGAUCUCGGACAUCCUUCAUCUCUUUCUAACAAUCGUUAUUUGAAUAUUGACUUGAUUCAUGCAAGAGUCAUAUGAGACCAGAAAAUAAGCUUCAUGCGAAAUCCCAGUACAAUGUAAAAUCAG